rnacentral:rRNA from 1 species
AAACCAACAGGGAUUACCUCAGUAACGGCGAGUGAAGCGGUAACAGCUCAAAUUUGAAAUCUGGGUCUUUCAGGCUCCGAGUUGUAAUUUGUAGAAGAUGCUUCGGGUGCGGCUCCGGUCUAAGUUCCUUGGAACAGGACGUCAUAGAGGGUGAGAAUCCCGUAUGCGAUCGGUUGCUUGCGCCCAUGUGAAGCUCUUUCGACGAGUCGAGUUGUUUGGGAAUGCAGCUCAAAAUGGGUGGUAAAUUUCAUCUAAAGCUAAAUAUUGGCCAGAGACCGAUAGCGCACAAGUAGAGUGAUCGAAAGAUGAAAAGCACUUUGGAAAGAGAGUUAAACAGUACGUGAAAUUGUUGAAAGGGAAGCGCUUGCAACCAGACUUGCGCGUUGCCGAUCAUCCGGGGUUCUCCCCGGUGCACUCGGCCUCGCUCAGGCCAGCAUCGGUUUUGGUGGUGGGAUAAAGGCCUUGGGAAUGUAGCUCCUUUCGGGGAGUGUUAUAGCCCUCGGUGCAAUGCCGCCUACCGGGACCGAGGACCGCGCUUCGGCUAGGAUGCUGGCGUAAUGGUUGUAAGCGAC